rnacentral:rRNA from 1 species
UACGUAGGGUGCAAGCGUUAAUCGGAAUUACUGGGCGUAAAGCGUGCGCAGGCGGUUAUGUAAGACAGAUGUGAAAUGCCCGGGCUUAACCUGGGAACUGCAUUUGUGACUGCAUGGCUAGAGUUUGGCAGAGGGGGGUAGAAUUCCACGUGUAGCAGUGAAAUGCGUAGAUAUGUGGAGGAACACCGAUGGCGAAGGCAGCCCCCUGGGUCAAGACUGACGCUCAUGCACGAAAGC